AGAAGGCUUCUGAGAAGUGUCUUUGUGUCCCAGCCCUGAGCUCAAAGCAGAGAUCACCUCACAGCUUGCUUUAGUCAGGGCUGAUGAAGGAGAAAUGCUGCUGAAUUUGCCUGGACACUCAAAGCCAGGGUAGGUUUUGAUUCUCAAUUGGUCAGGUCCAAAGUUUUCUGUAGCUUUUCUUGUCUAGAAUAGGAAUAUCUAGACCAGGAUGCUUCCGACCACCCUUCCAAGGCUCUCUGGUUUCAUUAAUUGGGCUCUACACCCCCAAAAUUAAUGAUUGUGCAAUGUGUUGCUGUUUCAUUCAUGAGAUCCAUGGUUUUGGUAGGUUUUGGCAGUACCACUCUCCUUCCACUGCCUUUGAACUCCUGCCUGGCUUUCCCCAGUCCUUACAGAGCCAUCCACUUAUCCUACUGGCCAACAGCUUCUCUGAUCCCUAAGGAGCUGAUACAUUCCUUUCAAGCUCUCCCAUCUUUCUUAACUCUCCUCUUUUCCUUCAUCUUUGCUUUGAACAAAUUGCUCCCAGAAUGGUGCAGUUGAUGCAGGAGAAAUUGCAUAGGACAAAUCUACCAAGCUGUUGCUUUUCCCUCAGGUCACUUCUUUUGCUGUCACUUUUCUCCCCAGGCUCUGUAGCCCAGAUUUCCCUUGGCCUCCAUAGACUGAGGACAGAGACAGCAGGAAAAUGUUGUCUCUGAUUAAGUCUUGUCUCCAGCCCCUUUCUCACAUCUCCACAUUUUCUCUGUCUGGAUUAUUGCCUUUGGAGUCAAAGGGUUUUGAUUUUUUUUUUAUACUGUGCAGAUAAUAUGAUGGUGGAAUGGGACAUUUGGUAUGUAGAUCACCUGUAAUCUUGUUUUCACAGCUCUUUUUCUUAUGCUUACAUCUUGAAUGUGAAGUUUGAAUUUGUACAGUUUCCUUCCUCUACAGCACAGCCACCCUGGUACAAAGCAUUGGCUUUAUUGUGUGUAACAGGUCCUAGAAAGUUGCUUAGAUCUUUACUUCUUGGCACAAAUAAUGUGGCAGGAGCAUUUUCAAUUCUGCCCUCAUAAUGAAGGGAGAACUUUUCACUGGAACUCUACAAUCAUUUUUAGAAAAGAAUUUGGAGCAAUAAGAGUGAGUGACAGUUCUCCCCUCAAACCUUUUCUAUUAACUGACAGAAAGGAUGCCAUUUGCUUCCUUUGCAAAUAAAAUGAACAAAAUAGUGCGAGUGAUACCUGAAAAUACCACAUAAGAAGUGCUAGGAAAAGCCUGCCCUGGUAUCUGUUGAGAAAGGACAUAAUUGUUCUUAUUCAGUCUCAGCCAUGAUGAGAAUCUCACCUUCCAGACCUGACUACACAACAGGCUAUUUGGAGGAGAGAAUCUCUUUACAUUGGCUGACUGUACAAGGCUUUAAUAUAUAUAUAUGUGUAUAUAUAUUAAAUGUAGGCAAAAGAAUUACAUUCAAAAAAAUCAGGCAUGUAAAUGAAAGCUCCUCAAAUCUUUGAAAAAUCUUCCUCAAUAUUAUAUAAUAAGAAAUACAUAACUGUGCCUAUUUUUACAGUAAUUUUCUUUCAUUUGAUGACAUUCAAUAGUAAGAUUUAUUAUUACCCACAUGGAAAAUAUCCUGCCUGGGGGUGGUUGAAAUAGAUCUUGCAGACAAGUCAUCAAUCAGCUCAUGUUUAUCUCUUCAGAGAUCAGCGAUAUCAGUGGCAGGAACAAUUCCAACCAAUUCAAGAGUAUUUACCGAUAAUAAAAGGAAAUGUUCAUGUGGCUUUAUACUGCUUCUCUCACCAGAGGUCACACAGCAUUUUUGCAGGAGGGCUGAUUUAUUGAGGCUCGUUUGAAGAUGAGGCAGGGAGAGCUCUGAGGUGUCCAGAGCCCUUGCCCUGACACCUCUGUGGCCAUUGCUCCCUCUCUGAAAGUCUAACUUCCCUUGCAGAGGGCUUUAAGAUAACACUGGUCCUCCCUGUCCCCACUGCUAAUGAGUUCAGCUAAAAGGAUUUAAGACUGAUACAGACAAAAAGAUCUUUUACAUCAGCUGAAUUGCAUGCAAAAUGAUUCUUACACUUCUUAGGAGUGAAUUGUAGCUUCUAACUGAACUCUGCUAUAAUUCUAAAGCAGAAGGUCUUAUAUUUGUGUCGCUGAUAGAGAGGUUUUUCAAAAUUUUAUGACAACACUCAGAAUAUUUAUAGGUAUUGACUGCAGGGUUCAGGACAAAGAUCUAUUGUCCUUGAGGCAAAAUAACAACCCUGACUUUACCUAGUACUUGCCUCUUGGUGUAAUCAGUCUGGAACUAACACUGCAAUUGUUACCUAACCCGUGUAUGACACAAGGGUUUUGUUCCUCUCACUUUUGCUUUUUUUCCUUUGCAAAAUUCAGUAUUUAUACUUACUGAAACAAAGAGCACUUUGAAUCACAACAUGAAGUGUAUGGUUUUUAAGAAGUUAUAAAGGGGUCCUUUUUUUUGUUUCGUUUCUAUGUUUUUGUCUAAGGAAAUUUACUGGAACAUUCAUUUCUGUUUGAGAGGAAACUUGCUCUAUGUGGACAAUAAAGAUGUUAGGAUCAGGAUGAAUGUCUAUGGGAGAUAAUAAUAAUGAAUGAAAAAAUGCAUCAGUCCAGCACUCAUAUUUUCCAGGAACUGCAAGAACUCAGUUCUGGGUUGUGUUUUAAAUCUGAGCCCCAUUGUUCCUGACUGGGUUCCGAGUCUGUUGGAAAGACUUCUCUUUGUUCCUCUGAGCUGCUCCAAUCUGAAGCAUUUGGACCAGUUCCAUAUUUUAUGCGAGAUUUUUAAGCUGAACAUGUAUUUUCACUCUUCCAGCUUUAGAAUGUAGAGCAAAGCAUCUUUCCCCUGUUUCCUGCUGGACGUGAGCAGAGCACAUUGACACUGGCAAAAGUAAUUUGACCUGGGAUGAGCCGGUAGGGGACAGGCAGCAGUUAUCAGUGGUACGUGAGAGGUGCCAGGAGCACAUUGCUCUCCUGGGGCAGGAACAUGCCUUGUGAGGCAGCACAGCCCAGGCUUCACCCCAGGCACGUGUGAGCUCUGUGCUCCGGGCUGACGUGAUUUGUUCUCCCCACAGAUACAAGAUGGGUGAGAACAUGUUUUUCCCCUUGAUGCUGUGUCAUUUGGUGGCAUUAAUCAAAUGCUUGUGGUGCCAGGGCCAGGGUUUAGUUGUGUCCUUUCGCAGGUGAAUGCCCCAGCCUGGUAGCACAGAGGUGUUUUUCUUGCUCUCUUUUCUUUCUUGGUCUUUAUGGAAUUUUUACACAAAUGGUGCUUCAGCUGAAGCUCUGAGGGUGACCUGGCCUCGGACACUCUGGCAUUUGCCCUGGUUGUGUGCAGCAGCAGCCUGGGAAGCUCUUCCCGCUCACAGGCAGGAUUUGUUACUGGCUAAAGUUACUCUCCUUGUAAGAGAAGUUAUUUGGAAACGCGGCCUCUCACCCUUUUAGUGCCCACCAGUUAAACUUCUUCCCUUUCAAAAUGCCCACAUAAGGUUUCCUGGCCCAGCCCAGCACCCACCUUGUGUCCCUGUGGCUGUGCCUGCUCUCCAGUGUCACAUCAUGUGUGAAACACUUUCAUACUGAGAACUCUGAGAGCUCUGCAUUCCUGUGUCACACAGCAUUUGUAAGCCCGACCCCGCUAUUGACAGACUGAAGGUCUGUGAGAUGGCUCUGACAAUACAACCUGGCAAAUAUUAGCCUGGAAAAUACUCAGGAGCUUGUUGCCAUCAGCAAACCUGGGGUCCCCAAGAGGUCGAUGUCAGCGUGAGGGUGAAGCCGUCCAGCAGGAUCGUGUUAGAGCUCGCACAGAGCAUGAACUCCUGAGAGGGGACUUGGCACUGGCUCCCGCUCAAGGGCAAUUGUUGGAGCAGCUUGUGAGCAGGCAGCUCGCCAGUGAGACAGGGCAUGGCUGUGGACAGCUCACAGAGCGUGUGUGUGCACAGGGCAGGCAGGAUGCACAGCUGGGAAACGGGAAAGGGAUUUCUGUAAACUUCUGCUCCGAGGGGGAAGAGCACAUUCAGGCGAUGCCAAUCCGUGGAGGAGUAAAGAAAUGAUUUCUGGCAGCUAAGACAGGUUUUGGGUCUGGCUAAAUCUGACAGAAUGCUGUGGGGGAGAACUGGAGAUGUCAUGGUUAAUGAGUAUGGAAAUUAUAUCAGUAGCUUGGCCAUCUAGGUUUUAAAUGUUGUCAAUCUAUAACAUGCAAUACUUCAGUGUAACAUUUUCUGGCUGCCUAGUUUAAGGCAUAAAGACAGGCAGCCUCUCAGUAAUGAGUCAGUAUCUAUAGAGAGCAAGCUGUUGAUAGCAAAGCAGAAAUCUUGGCUUCUCAUCUCAGCAAGUUUAAAUUAAUCAAAAAAGAUGGUGGGCAGGAGAAGAAGAGGGGUUGUUUUCUUUUGUUUUCACAUUUUUGACACACCUGACAAACUGAAUUCCCCAUGAUUUUUCUGCCUCCCUGCUCGGCCCACGGGAGCAUUAAUUCCUCUCUCCUCUUGGUGCACUCCAGCCCAUGAACUGUGCAGUGACCCUCUUGCCCAGCUCAUCUUGGCAUCCUGGAGUGCACUUAGACUCUGCACCUCGAAUGCUGGGAGAAGACAAAACCUGUUUACUGUAAACACAUUCUCCCCAGCACUUCAGUCCAGCAAGGGAUAAUUACCGAAACUCCGGGACAAAGGUGUUGUGGAUCUUUUUACUGGUGGAUAGAAAGGAUCCUCGUCAAGUCUAAUGAGUCUGUGGCUCUUACAGACAUCCAAGGGGGCCUUGCUGUCUCCAGAAGAGACAGAAAGUAACUCUGGGAAGGCAGAGUGUGGAAUCUGACACUACUGUGUAAUUGAGGAAAAAGAGCUAUAUGCAUUAUUUAUGAGCAGAAGGCUGGGCUUAAUGUUAACAAGUGAGAAGAAAGUGGCUUCAAAACACUGGCUUUCUGCUCUUCCCUGUAAGAAAGGCUUCUGAUUUAAAUUGCUUGCAUUUGAGAGCAAGAAGGGAGACAGAGCUGUUAUUUAUACCGAGCCUUAUUCCGUGUGUGUGGAGCUGUACAAGAUUGAGGGAGAGGCAGGGAUUGCCCCGAGGAGAGCAGCCUCUGCUCACUCAGGCUGUGGCCAGGAUGUGUCAUACAUGCUGCCCUGUAACGAGCUAAUCCCGAUCUGCUCCAGGCAAAAGAUUUCACUGCAAGACAGAAGCAAACAGAAUUGCUACUCUUUUGGCAUUUCCAUUGGGCAGGGAUGGUUUUAAAAAGCUGAGGAAUUUUCUCUGAAUCACUCUGUCCACCCCAUGACCUCUCUUUGCAACCACUGCCCAGUUUUGGGGUUGCAUGAGUUGAUUUUGUGGCUUUUGUCCUCUUAUGGGUCCCCCAGCAGGGUCUGCCCUGUCGGGUGUUGUGGUAGGAGCUAGAAGUGGCAUGAGCAAUCCAGCUCAGGCUGUCACAAAAUCUCCCUGUAAAGUCACACGAAUGUGCUGGAUCUUUUGGGUUUUAGCUGUUUUCUGACUAUUUUCUAAAGAAAACAGGCCUGGCUGGCUAAUGAAGUUUUGCCCUUCAUGAUGACAACGUGUGAUUAUUAUCAGCAAAAGAUAUUAUGUUCCAAAGAGUACAGGAUGCUGAGCUGCCUUUUUUCCUAAGAAAACACAGCGUGGGCUGAGGCAGGGCAAGUCCCUCCCUGUGGAGAGAUCACCUUCAUAGCUGAGCAAAUUAUCACCUUCAUCACUGUCUGCAUGGCAGUCACACCUGGAGGCAGGAGCAGGAGCUUGAACUCUCCCUGGACCUUUUUGCAGCUCAGCACAUCCAUUAAGGACCCCACCACAAAGGGAUAAAGGCUCUUCUUCCCACUCCACCCAGCAGAUGUACAUGACAUGUGCUGCAAAAGAUUUCACUGCUGCUACUGCAGCCCUGCUUGGGUUGGAGUCCAUGCUUGGGAUGUUUGUGCUGCAAAUCUGGCACCCAGCACUACCCCACGAGCUUGUAUUUGCAGAAGUUCCAUGCUUUUCUUUUCUGCAGGUCUCAAAAGGUAAGAGAACCUUCCAUUUUCUUCCCUUUUUAAAGGUCACCAGAUUCUCCCAUCCCCAUUUCUGCAUUACAGCCAAUGUCCUUUCCAUGGUAUAAAAUCCUGACUCCUUCCUGCUGUGAUCCCGAGCAGCCAGGAUUUUGUUUCUGGGAGGAAAAUUAGCUCAGUGGGAUAAGAUGAGAAUAACUAGGCCUCUGUAAAAGUCAGGAAGCAAGAAGUGAGCAGCAUUGCACUGGAACUGAUGGGGGAAAAGCACUCUGUUCCUUGAUUUCUAACACUGGCUCAUUGAUUCUCCUCUUGGUUCCAUCAGCAGUUACUGCUUUUCCUUAAUCCAGGUUCAUAACUUCUUAGUGGAGCAGGUUCUUUAACAGAAAUACCCCUGAGAAAUCAUAACAACAGGCUGGAGGGGAAGCUGAAGAACACUGGGAUCUUGCCUGCAUCCCAGAAGGAUGUAUUGAGCAGGGAAUUGCUGUUUCUAAUGGGGUUCCCUGGAAAGUCCUUUGCAGCCAGGUGUGUGGCUGCACAGUUUUGUGUGCGUGUCCAGGUCGAGCAGAACUCGAGCCGAUGCUGAAAACGAGUAGCACCUUUUUCUGAGGAGUACUGCUAAGUUUUCCCUGUCCCCGGGCUUCUCAUAGCAAAGAAGGUAAUGGCAGGAAGGACUAAUGAAUAAAGAUGAUUUUUGUAAAGGUGGGAUUGGAACAGGAGAGGCUGGAGGUGAGGCACAGCGAUGGGGGAGGAGGGAGGCAGCCCGUGUGGGGACUAGUGAGUCAUGCAUCCUCCAGCAAGCACUGACUCACUGGGAAGAUGAUCGCUCUGCUGUUCCCUUUCUGCUAAAGCUGAGGAAUAGUCAGUCGACACAACUUUAUUCUGCAAGCUCCCGGGUUGGAGAGUGAGGUGUAGAAGGGAGGGAGCUGGAGACCAUGAAGCACUGAAGUGGGAGGCAGGGGUGAGCCCUGGAGCACAGCCUGCAGCUGCUGAGGCUCCCUGCAGCAGCUGGAAGAGAGAAUUCCCUGUGCUGGAUGUGGAACAGAGGCUCAGCUCCUACAGCCAGGCUGAGCACUGGGGUCUGCAAUACCCCUUUGUGUUCUCUUUGCUGCAGGGUCCAGGCUCAGGUGCUGCCAGCACUGCUGCUCCCAACGAGGCACACAAAAUCCUUGGAGCCAGACUUGGAGUGUGCCAGCUGGGACAGGUGUCACCCGGCAGAGAUGUCACAUGGGAGAAGUGUCACCUGGCAGAAAUGUCACUUGGGAGAGUUGUCACCCCGCUCCCUUGUGGACAGUUAGGUACAACCAGUGGGGAUGCAGUUCUGAUGUUUGUUAUCUCCUGCCCAGCUUGUUAUGCUUAACAGGUGAGGAGAGCCAUUGCUGGAUUUGUGCUACCUGCAGAUUUCUAAAAGGAAAUACAUUUUUUUACCCAUUGUGUACACAGGAGAAUGAUUCUGCAGGGCUGAGGAGAGGGACCAGAGGGCCAUGUGGUUUCUUCCUCAGAGAAAGAGGAAAGAAAAUGUAUAAGAAGAAUCCAAAAUUACCCCAAAAGCUGAUUCUCACUCAGAUUGUUGCAGCUUUCAUACGAGUGAAGUGCAGAGAGCCCUGAUCCACAAAGUGGUGCUGUCAGGAUUUCUGGAGCAGUGAAAGGCUCCAAGUGUGUCUGUGCAGUCAGCAUUGAGGGCAGGGGCUGGAACUGCCCAGCACAGGCAGUGCCCAGACCUGGGAUCAGAAACUGGGAGAGCAGUUGCAAGUCAGAGCUGCAAUUUUCAUUUGCUUUACAAGUUUUAUGUUGGUAAUGUGGAGUAAUUAAUGAACCAGAGCAGUGCUGCAGAGGGGGAAUAAUUUUAAUGCUCCUUUUAAAGAGGCUACUAAAUCAAUGGGGCAGUUUAAAAAGGAAUGAUAGCCUGGAGAUUAGGAGACUUAAUGUGAGAAAUUAGGCAGGGUUUUGAGAGUGAUCGAAUCUCAAGUAGGCAGGUCCUUUAUGAGCUGCUGUGUGGGCAUUUGCAUGUUCAACACACACUGCCAAAGGCAGGACUCACUGAGUUUUAGGUUUGACUGGUCAGACUGGGCCACUGUGUUCAGACAUGAAGGUCCCCCACACUUGGAAAAGACACUGAGAGAUUGUAAAGCACAAGCUACAGUCCUGCUUCCCACUGUGCAGGAGCAGUAUUUUUCCACUCCUGUCACAGGUCUUCUGACUACCAGGCUCAUAAGGGAUGUCUACAUGGGCUUUUGUAGGCAGAUACGAGCUUACUCUGGCUGCAGGCCAAGGGAACCAGAAGCCAUGGAGCUGCAGCUAAUGUGCUACAUGCCCAAAUUACUGUGGCCUGCUGAGAGGCAGGAUAUUAGCUUGAGCUCAGGGCUCUGGCCAGCUCAGACCAUGAGUGAAAUAAGUUUUCCUCUGUGUGUGGAAAAGCAUGGAGACAAGGAUAGACAACCUGCAUAGGAUUCGGAAAGCCGCUUUUAUCCCGGCUUGGGCAGGUUAGCCGAGCCCAGGAAAAUCAGGCAGACACAACUCCCUGAGCACCCUGCCCCGAGCACAAAGAGCAGCACCACAUGGUUGGCCUCAGAGCCAGCCAGCUCCUCCUGGCCAAGGAAAACUGCUUUGGGAGCUGCAUCCAAAUUCUGUGGGCCUCCAGUUGGCUCUCCCUGUCGUAGGCAUACCCAGCGUUUCUCUCCUGUUUUGGAUGGCAGGGACUCGCUGUGGACAGGGAGGGUUUGAAUUCUGUCCUCACUGCCUCUGUGAGUUUCUGCAGGAAAAUGUUGUACAAUGUGACACCUGAUGGACCAUAUUGAAUUCUGAGCUCUGAAGGUGGACUGGCACCUACAUGUGUCCAAUUUGAACUAAGAUGAAAGGCUGUCUCCAUUUUAAAUGCAUAUAUUAGCUAGAUGGAUUAGCAGAACUUUUUUUAUUCCUAAAAUUUUUUACUGUCUCAAUUUUGAAGACUGCUUUGCAUGAGAAAGUUCACCAUGUAUUAUUGUUUAAUGUUAAUGGAGGAGGAACUCUGUGUGUGCGUGUCCAUAUGUACACAUGCAGAGUACAAGAAAACAGAGAUGUUUAUAUGUAAGUACACACCCAAAAUUCAGUCUUGGGUAUCUUAGAAUGAUACAUAAAGAUAUUAAGGAUGCACAGCAAAAAACUGUGUGCUAGGCAGUCUUGUGGUGCAGUGAAGCAUUUUAAAAGCAGGGAUUUGAGUAACUGUCUAAGUUGCUGAGGAUAGAACCAUAAUUUGAGCAGGAAGAAGCUUUAAUUAAAAUAGACCCAUGAGGUGAAAUCCCAGCCCUAUCAUGGUCAACAGCACAACUCCUACUGAUCCUUCAUGGAAUCAGGAUUUUGCUCGGAUCUUGUGACAUUUGCCUUUUCUGAAUCUGAGGCAUUAGUCCUCGAACAGAAUAUAUAAGCUAAAAAUGGAAAACUGCCUGACCUAAAAUAGUUUGACAUCCAUAUCAUAGUGCUUAUUGUCUGAGAGUACAUCUAAAUGACAUGUUGAUUAAUCCUGAAGUGAGGAAAAUGCGAUUCGUUGGAAAGAACUGGGAUUGUACCAAUAAUUCAGUACCAGAAGCUACACAGCCAUCAAGUCAGUGUGCAACGUUUCCAGGAAAACUUUAUUUGCAAGCUGUCAGAUUCAUCUGCCAUUUUCCCAGAGACUUUGGUUCCCUUCAGAGUGGCCUGGACGAAAUGCUCCAAUCCAGUUCAUGUGAGCUAUCAGCUACUUUGCUAAAGCAACUUUCCCCGUUCCUUUCACUGAAAACAAAACAGUCAUAUCAAGUCAGGUUGCUGUGAGUGGCUCUUAAGAGAGAUGUCGGCUGCACUUAGUGCACAGCUGGGGCCAAAGUGAAGCUGUGUAAGUGCCUGAGCUGUUCAGCUGGAAAUUACAUCUUGUGCAGGAACCUAAAUGUCAAGUUCUCCAGUCCCCCUCACAGCCAGAACUCCAGCAACUCCCCUUUUCCCAUGACUCUUCUUCCCUUUCCUACAGAUGUAGCUGUGUUUUCCUUCAGACACAAUAAAUCUUGUAUGGGAAUGCCACAAUGUAAAGCAAAGCGAGCUGUCACCCAGGACUUCAGAUGACACUUAGCCACAUUAACGAGUAAACAGAGCCCACAGGAAAGAUGCCUUUUGAAAUGCACUGUUUGUGUCAGCAGUGCUAAAACUAACGAACCAAAACAAUGAGGGGAAAAAGGGGAAUCAUCAGAUGCACCUAAAGCUAUAGGCUAUAAAGUCAGAUCGGCUGAGAGCAGCUCAAAUACAAGCAAAUCAUUGGGACAGUACAUAAAUUAUGAUUUCCAUAAGCAGUAAGACAGCGAAUACUCCCAGCCUUGUGAUGGGAGGAAAGCACUAAAAGAAAGGCUAAAUGUAACCAUGUGGAAAGAAGGGAGCAGGAAUGAAUGUGCUUCUUAUUUUGGAACCUUCUCAUGGCAAACAAGCAAGGCUGGAGCCAAAAUCUCCAGGACACAGAAGGAAGUUGGAACUGUUACCCCAGCGCAUGGCUCACGAGAGAGCUGGCACAGAGAGAGGGAUCAGCUCUGCAUUGUUCAGAAGGAGCCUCACAGAGCAUGCAGGAUAACAUGCAUCCCCAGGGCCUUUGGAGGCAACCACUAUCAACAGACAGUGGAAUCAGUCCAAAGUCAGAGAAAUGUUACUGAAUGAUAAUUUCACUCUUGAUGAUGGAGGAGCAAAACUGUGCACCGGAAGAAAAGAAAUAAACUGAUGGUAGGGUAUAGAAAUGGUGCUGUGGAAAUGGCUUUGCUUUGCUUGCUGUAGGGAUUUACUCUUCCACUGAACCAGUUCUUAAACAAUAAUCCUCUGAAGGAAGCUUUCAGAUCACUGACAUGGUGAGAGGAAACCAGUAUUAGCUACAGUUCUUGUAUUAGUGGUUGCUUCAUGUUGAUACAAACAAAAGUGCCUGGUCCUGAAUUAACAAUAGCUGUGGUUUAGGUUUUCUUCUUUCAGUGAUCCCCAAAUUAUGCUUGACUGAAUAAUUUCGUACUAGGGGCAGAAUAAACAUCAACUCUUAAUAGCUGAAUUUUUAAGGUUAAAACUGAGGCUAAGUACAUAACAUUUAUCUUCUGAAGAAAGCAUGUGUACCCUGGUUAAGGGGGAAGAUGGAAACCAUGUCUGUGAGAGCAAUGGCUGAUGGCUUAGUUCUGCAUGAUAAAAUAAAUAACUUCGAUUAACUUCAAGCUCCAGUACCUCAGAUGUUUGUUGUCACAGAGGAGCAGCUUGGCUGAUUGGCAGCUCUGGUUUAGUCGACAUGUGUUAACAAAAAUUGCUCAAUUUACAUGGAGUACUUCAAUCUGCUGUUUUAGGAGUUUUUGUCUUACAUAGACUGGCAUUUCAGCUUUUGAAUAGAUGGAGGACUUGUAAGGGUCAUUAAAGAAAUUGCUAAAGCUUCUGCAAAUGCUUGGGCCAGAUUGCUGACUGAGAUGCAGAGCAUGCACGUGUCACUGCAGAUACUUCCCAGAUAAUGGUGCUGAUUGAGAUUUUAAUCUGGACAGAGUGCUGGAGGCAACUUUCUUUCCAACACUCAAUUAUCCUGAUAAUAAUAUGCUUAUUUCUUUCCUGUGUUCAAAAUGUGUGGUCUGCUGCAACUGUGCAGUGUGAGUACAGUGCUGUACGGAGGGGGAAAAAUCAGGGAGCAAAACUGACUCCACAGCAAAGGGCACUGACAGCACAGUCCCACAGUGUUCAAGGCAAUGUAUUUUUACCUUGAAUGAGCUGAGUAACCACUAUGAGAAAGGGCUGCAUUCCUUCCCACAGGCUGCAGGACGACUCCUUGGUUCUCAACAGCCACAGAGGAAUAAAUCUGGAGCACAGCCUGCAGCCAGGACUAUGUAGCAUGUUGUAGGGGCAAGACUAUCAUUUUACUGUGCAUUUGCAUCUUGUAUCCUCCCUGGUGGGAUGCUGAUCCAUAACAGAGUCUUCUAAAAUCUCACACAACACAAAGAAUCCAGGCUAGUUUCCCACGGACACUCUUCAUGAAAGAAUUUCUUAGAAGAGAUAACUCAGCCAGGAAAUGAGAACUAGGGGGCCAAAUUCCUUCAUUCAAAUCCAUCUCCCUUUGGUAAAGGAUUAAAAAAAUUGUUCCUAUAUGACUAAUCCCAGCUAUAUUUCCCUAAUUUCUAGGGAAGCAACAGUUUCUAGAGAUGAAGGGUAAAGCCAUUUGAGGAAAUCAAGCUUUAUUUGCUUUUUAUUAAUUAGAGAAUUUUCUGCUAGAUCAAAUUACUAAUAACACUUUGGUUAUUAAAAUUUAUGAAACCUAGAUUUACUUUUCAGCCUCUGUAUCAUCUUCUGAUCCUUAAUACUUUUCAUCACACUCAAGGAAUGAAAACAAACUCAGCUGUUUCAUGUUUGUUCUCAAUUGACUUUUACCAGGGCUGUGUUAAGGUUGUUACAUACUUGUUAUUAAGUGAUGGCAGAGCACACACUUCUGAGACAACACAGAAUAUUCACCCUCACUUUUGGCAGGUUACAACCCAAAACGAGUGUCACAAACCUGCCAGGAGAGCCAGAGAAGGUUCUGCUGCUUCCAUAGCUCCCUCUGUCCCUCUCUGAUUGUUUUCUGCAGGGAUAGCUGUGAAUUUCACUCAUUUGCUUUAUGUGUCCAGUUGUAUUUGUUGCUUAAAGUGAAUGCACAUGCCCUAAAGCAAGGAACUUAUGAUUUUUGGCUUUUUAUGAUUAGUUGAAAGUCUUUGCAUCUAUGUUAAAUUCAGCUGUAUUGAAUUUAGUUAAGCUAGUGCUGCGUAGGCACUUUUAUUCUGGACUGGGAGUGAUUUGGGCCAAUUUCUUUUAAAUCCAUCCCUAACUGACUUGCACUGAGCUGAGCUAACACCUGAUUUAUGCUCUCAUUUAUCCCAUUUUGAGCAAGAGCUCGGGGAUGCUGUUGGGUGCCAGCACCGUAAGGAGUCACCACAUGAGCGGCGGCCUGGGCAGCGCAGCAUUGCCGUCCUUAGCCUGCAGCAAACGUGAGCUCCGUGUGGCACAGUGACCUCGGGCCAAGAAAAUGAGAAUUCUGAACGGGUUUCUUCCAUCGCCGAUCGCCACGGGCUAAGAGCAAACACACACGGUCAAUUAGCGAGGCUCAGCUGAUGCGCGCUCAAAAACUUGAAUUCAAUCUCAGUUCAUCUUUACUCUCACGUAACAAAAGGGAAGACAUUUGAUUAGGUUAUGUGAGAUCACGUGGAUGGAUUCAACACAUGGCUGCAGGACCAGGCAUUAUUAUCUUGGACACAUUUUGAACACUGCUUCUCACUCUGCUAUCAGCCACCGCCACCUCUGCAGUAAUGUGACAGCAAGAGAAAAAGGAUGGGAAGGCGAUAAAGUUUGCCCACGCAAGGAGAAAAGAACUUUCUGUCCAAAGCCAGCUGGCUUGGCUUGGGAAUGAAAUGGCAUUUUAGUGAGAGGUGACCUGUUUACAUGAGCCUUGUCUCAGAACACUUGUCCUUGGUGCCACAAUGGGGUCUGAGACGCAGUUUAUCAUCGAGUACCCACAGAAAACAGGUGAGCUGUCUCCGUGCCAGUUUGUCUUCUAAACUGUUUGACAGAUAAGAAACCAUCCUCAGAGAUUGCAACAAAUGUGCUGCCGCAUUUCAUGGUAAGAACCGAGCAUAUUUUUAGUAAGGGGUUGAGAAAGUAUGCAAUAAUCCUAAAUCACAGCCAAGAAAACCACAAACCCCGUAACAAAUGCCUGUUCGGUUUCAGAGCUCAGAAACGUGCACCAGUUGAUCCAUGUUAACGCUCCGGGGAAAUUUUUAAGCUUAUUUUUCCAGACUCCAAGAGAGAAUCCGUAACUUUUUUUGCCUUUACCUGGAGGGGCCAGGGGGAGCAGGGAAACUGCUGGGUGCUCUUUAUCCUGUGAGACACAGGCCAGCCAUCCUACAUGUGCUCUCAAAGAAAUCAAUGGGAUGUGCACCAAUGACAUACUUGUUCUGAGAAGUCUGUUCACCAUUAUAAAACCCCAAAAUGUACCUUGUAAACUGCCCAAGUUUAAGAAUUAAACUUUAUUCCAUAAGUUAACUGCUUCAGAAGUUUCUUUGUACACUCUAAUAGAUCCUGCAGAGCCACUGUGGGCUCUGGAUAUGAAGCCUACCGGGUCAGGAUAAAAAUUGUGCCUUUUUCUACUGCAGUUUGGUCAAUGAGUUUAAAGUGAAGCAGACAAAAUUCAGGAAAAAUAACACUUAAACUUGCAUUUUAAGAGCAGCUUUAGCUGAUUGAGGGUGCUCUGCACAAGUCAGGAGAAACUUAUCUGGCUUUUAAGAGUUCCACAAGUCUUUUGUCACUUGAAGAGGCCCCAUCAACUUCAAAUCUACUUUACAAAAGUAGUUCAAAAACGUUUCAGAUAUUAUGGCCUCCUAUAUCUAUUUCUGUCCCUUUUGUUUCCUAACAGCAUGAGAUACUGACCACACAUACUGCUGUCAAAUAUAGAAAUUAAACUUACAGAAAAAAGGAGCCAUUUUUUCUUUAAUCUCUUGGAAUUUUUUCCAGACUAAAGGAUAGUUCUUAAAUUGAUAAUAUCCCUUUAAGAAUUUAUUUGCCAGGUAAUGUUAGAAGAAAAAAGACUUUAAGGUCAGUUUGAACAUUAAAAAGACCCCCUUUAAAAUAAAUUUCAAAUCUAUAUUGGAGAUAAUGGCAGGCAGUAUUAGAACAGCUCUCCAAAUUAUAAAAUAUAUUCUACACCUUAAAAAUGCAAAAAGCUUUAAAAUCCUUUUAAGUGAUUUCCAGUUCCUUGGAAAAAGGUCAAGAUUUAUCCUAAGAAAUACUUUGUUGCAUAAAAAUAAUGCAUGUAGUUUAGUGUUGCAAUAUAUUCCAGUCAUAAUAUAUGUAUAAAGCUACAAAAUUAUUAACAGAUGAGGGGCUGUAAAUUUUGAAUAAUGAAGUAAAUAUGAUUAUUUUUGAGGGGUGAAAUAACACAAUGCCGUCAGAAGAGAAAAUUACACUUUAAUAAUGAAAAUAUUGAACAUAACUAUUUUUCUUUAGAUCUGCUAAGCAAUCUGUGUGUUCCCUAUGAGAUGUCAAACUAUAGAGUGCAUAUGAAGACUUUGCUCCCUCUAUAAAUAUACAUGUGCACGACACAUUGCUAACAGCAGCAAGCGAGUGCUGGGGAAAUACAGCAACAAUGAAGUUCCUGAGAGAGGCUUAUUUUUUCAAGUUAUUAAAAGAAGGUGGCAAGCGUUCAUGAGGAUAUGAAAAUUUAAAGCCGUCUGCAGGAAACUCUGAAAACCUCUGGUUAAGGCUGCUGCCAAAAAAUCUCAGCUAUGUUAUGUCAGAAUGUUUAAUUGCAAGCUGCAACUUUAAUGAAUGGAAAGAUAUGGCAAAAGCAGGAAGUUUCUGAAGCAACAUGAAGCAACCAUGAAAAUAAAAUACCAAAGGCUGUAAUCUUGAGUGCUGUUGGAAGCAGGAAUUUCCAUCCACGCUCUGCCUCCUUUCCCUGCUGUGCAGGGGUUGCCAGCUGAGGGGAGAGGUAAAAGGCUCUGGAUAUCAUCUGCUGGGCUCAAGGCAGCACUUGUUAUGUCGAUGUGAACAAGUCAACUUCUUUGCAUUUGUCAUUAUGGGUGUUUACAGAAGUGCAGCUUAGGAAUGAGGGGAGGAAAGGCAAAUGUCAGAGUGCAUUAAAUAACGUAUUUUCUUUACUUUCCAAGAAGCUUGCUCGCAGCAUGAUGUUGCUAUUUAUAUCACAUCUCCUAAACCCAGCUGUUGGUUCAUGUUAACAUGCAGAAUGGUGAGAAAAUCCUGGCAGAAGAGCGUGAAUCCCAGAGAGACUUGUGGGGACCUAUAAAAUAUCACAAAUUUUGCUGAGGUAUGGGCCGGGUGUGCCCCCGGUGAGGCAAUAUCAGCAUUUCCCCUGCUGAUCCUCCAGUGCUAGAGCACCAAGAGCAAAGCAGAAUGUAAAGUUCCAGAACUUUACAUUUUUCUGCAGCAGAAAACUUCAGGGAACUGAGCCUGCACCUCUGGCUGGAAGAGUUUGAAAGAGUACUUUUACCUGUAACUCAAAACUAGCAAAUACACUGUACACCCACAUAACAGCAUUCUUAGACAAGCUGUGUCUGAUCUAAUCUUAUGUACCUUGGCCACAAGUUUUGGAAAAACAAAUAUUCCCAAGGCAAUCAGAUUAGUGAAUAUACCAUAUAAUGAUGUGGAAAUACUAGUGGUUUACAGAGAGCAGUUUAUGGGAUGGAUUGAGUGACUUUAAUUCACGCAUUGUCAGACAGCUUUGGACUUCAGUAAAAUAAGGAAACCUUGAUUUUAUCUGUGUGUAGUGGAACGUCAGAGCAGCACUCCUGAGCACAGAGAGCUCAGGGGAGUUUGUUCCCAGCCAGCUCCCCAAGAGGACAGGCAGAGGUUUGUGCUGAGGUGACCAGGGGGUUAACAGGGUUACCCAAAGCCUUAAUGGCCAGGAACCAUUAUCUGCUCCUCUCUGAUUUCCUGCUCCCUAGGUGGGAGUCCCCCCUGCCCCUCUCCUUUGUUUCUAAUGUGAGUUCCCAUCCUGAAAUGCUGUGAGUACAAUUCGGUUUUGUUGCAAUCAGUAGUCCUUUACAAAAUCUUCAUUCACAGAGUGUUUCCCCCAUUGUAAGUGGAACAAUGUUAGGAAUUAAUCUGGCCUGUGAUUUGUAGGAACCUUGUUCUGAAAACCUCGUUCUUAGACCCCCCCCUUCCCUUUGAAGGGUAACUUAAUUGUUUGGCAACCAUGCAAAAGCUACAUAACAUCCCCUACUCCUCUUAGCUAUGAUUUUAAAAGUUCUGCAUUUUGGUUUUAUAUAACAUUCACCUCUAGAAGUAUGAGGCUCAGAUUCUCUUCUCUAAGACACAAGAUGAAAAAACUGAUUUCUGGAAUAUAAGGAACAUUUGAAAGGAGGAAAAACCAUGGUACAUCUCUGGCGUGGAUUGUAAGAAGGUCCUAAAUGUGAAUUUGGCCUUUGCAGUUGUCCUGGAAGUUAAACCCAAUGCAGCACCAU